rnacentral:rRNA from 1 species
AUUGAACGCUGGCGGCAUGCCUUACACAUGCAAGUCGAACGGCAGCACGGGUGCUUGCACCUGGUGGCGAGUGGCGAACGGGUGAGUAAUACAUCGGAACAUGUCCUGUAGUGGGGGAUAGCCCGGCGAAAGCCGGAUUAAUACCGCAUACGAUCUACGGAUGAAAGCGGGGGACCUUCGGGCCUCGCGCUAUAGGGUUGGCCGAUGGCUGAUUAGCUAGUUGGUGGGGUAAAGGCCUACCAAGGCGACGAUCAGUAGCUGUUCUGAGAGGACGACCAGCCACACUGGGACUGAGACACGGCCCAGACUCCUACGGGAGGCAGCAGUGGGGAAUUUUGGACAAUGGGCGAAAGCCUGAUCCAGCAAUGCCGCGUGUGUGAAGAAGGCCUUCGGGUUGUAAAGCACUUUUGUCCGGAAAGAAAUCCUUGGCCCUAAUACGGUCGGGGGAUGACGGUACCGGAAGAAUAAGCACCGGCUAACUACGUG